UACCUGGUUGCUCCUGCCAAUAGUCA
rnacentral:rRNA from 1 species